AUUGAACGCUAGCGGCAGGCCUAACACAUGCAAGUCGAGCGAGCGGCGGACGGGUGAGUAAUGUAUGGGGAUCUGCCCGGUAGCGGGGGAUAACUACUGGAAACGGUGGCUAAUACCGCAUACUAUUGGAUGAACCCAUAUGGGAUUAGCUAGUAGGUGGGGUAAAGGCUCACCUAGGCGACGAUCUCUAGCUGGUCUGAGAGGAUGAUAAGCCACACUGGGACUGAGACACGGCCCAGACUCCUACGGGAGGCAGCAGUGGGGAAUAUUGGACAAUGGGGGAAAGCCUGAUGCAGCCAUGCCGCGUGUAUGAAGAAGGCCUUCGGGUUGUAAAGUACUUUCAGCAGGGAGGCGGUACCCGCAGAAGAAGCACCGGCUAACUCCGUGCCAGCAGCCGCGGUAAUAC
rnacentral:rRNA from 1 species